rnacentral:rRNA from 1 species
GACGAACGCUGGCGGCGUGCCUAAUACAUGCAAGUCGAACGAGAGCGACCGGUGCUUGCACUGGUCAAUCUAGUGGCGAACGGGUGAGUAACACGUGGGUAACCUGCCCAUCAGAGGGGGAUAACAUCCGGAAACGGAUGCUAAAACCGCAUAGGUCUUCGAGCCGCAUGGCUUGAAGAGGAAAAGAGGCGCAAGCUUCUGCUGAUGGAUGGACCCGCGGUGCAUUAGCUAGUUGGUGAGGUAACGGCUCACCAAGGCCGUGAUGCAUAGCCGACCUGAGAGGGUGAUCGGCCACAUUGGGACUGAGACACGGCCCAAACUCCUACGGGAGGCAGCAGGGAAUCUUCCGCAAUGGACGCAAGUCUGACGGAGCAACGCCGCGUGAGUGAAGAAGGUUUUCGGAUCGUAAAACUCUGUUGUUAGAGAAGAACAAGUGCUAGAGUAACUGUUAGCGCCUUGACGGUAUCUAACCAGAAAGCCACGGCCAACUACGUG